AUUUCACUGACAAGCUUAUAAUUGAGAAUCAAGAGAAGCCUAGGACCUGGGGAGCCACGACCAGUCACCAUUGACACCUGUGGACCACCUUCAGCAUCCGUUCUGUACUUGGGAUGGGGGCUCCAAACAGACAACAAGUGGCCUCUUACAUCAGCUUAAAAUAGCCUCUUGCUCUGCCUGCCUUAUAGGAGCUGAUAAACUGAGUCUGGCUUCCAUUCUUUUGCACCCUUAGUGAAAAAAGAUGACUGUCCUUGGUUCAGGUGUUAGAAUGAAGAGCUGGAGCUUGCUCAGAAUAAUGUUAUGUAUUAUUGGGUCUUUUCUCCACCCCACCCCUCUUUUGUAUCUUAUCACCACUUGCAUAGAGCACCCCCACAUUUUGUUUCUUGGUUGACAAUAAAUAGAACUGUUUCACUAAAAAAAAGAAUAUGACACAGGUGGUAAAUUAGUAGACAAAGACAUUAAAACAGCUGUAUUAAGUAUGUUCCAUAUGUUCAAGAAAGUAGAAGAAGGAGUAAGCAUAUUAAGGAAAGAAAAAGAACAUUUUUUUAAAAAAUGAGCAAAAUUGAACUUCUUAAUCUGAAAAAUACAAUAUUUGAGAAGAAAACUCAGAACCGCUGUGGCAGUCAUAAUUUUUGCCACUAUUUCUACCAUUAGGAACGUCACUAAUGUAAAAUAAUAUUUUCAAUGGGUCUAAAAAUACUCCUUUUCAUAUAGAAAUCUCAAAACCACAUACCAAUGUGCAUCAAAACUAUCAAUGCAGAAUAGUGUUUGCAUAGUAAAAAUAUGUUAGCUGCACUUGCUAUUGGGUAUUUAUAAAGAAUAGAAGCAGCACACAGCCUUUUCUGUAUGCAAAACAUGUUAAGCCAAGCAUAACUUCUAUUCAGAAGAGUUUAAAAUCCAAUGAAGAAUAAAAAAUUGGGUUCUGAGACUUCAUUUUUAAACUUGGUGCAUGCAUAAAUUAAAGAAAAAACAUUUUAUAUGCACCACUUAGGACCCGGAAUAAAGCUAGAGACCCUUGCCAGGGUCCAUGGCAGCAGUAUUUCCACUUUGAGAGUGAGCUAAGGUUUGAAAUAUCUAACUUAAGAAAUAUGGUAAGAAGCAGCAGAAAAUUAAGCAAGAAGCUGAAGAAGACCAAAAGGAACUCUUAUAAAGAGUGGGAAUGUAAAAAAUGUGAGGACUAUGGUUUACAAGUACGUAUGAAUCUCCCUGACAGAGGGAGAGAAGGUGAUAACAUGAAAAUGCAAUUAAAUUCAACCAACAGUUAUUGAGUGCCUGUUACCUCAAGACACUGCGCCAAAUGAAGUACUCUCCCUUUCCUCCAGCAGCACGAAAUAUGAUGCAAGAGAUGAAUGCAGAUGCAUAAAUAAUUGUCUCAUAAGGCAGACUGAUAACUGCACUAAUGUAGACACAACAAGAGCUAACGGAGUACAGAGGAGUGAAAUAAUAACUGGAUCUUGGGGUUGGAAAAUGAGGGAAGACAACACAAAAGACAACAUUAGAAUGGUGUUCUAUCAGAUACAGGGGAUUUUACAAUAUAUAAAGGGGGGGUUCUGUGGUUAAUUUAAUCUCCCAUUUAAUUCCAUUUAUUUCCAAAAAAAUAAUAAUUCCACUUAUUUCCAUCCCAUUAAUUUCCAUUUAAUUUCCCCCCUCCCUCACCAUCAUUCCUUUUUUGUGGGUUUUUUUGUUUUGGUUUUGGUUUUGGUUUUGCCUCUCUCUGCCCUGCUUUAUAAUCUAUAGACCACAUCAUUUGACAAUCCUUGGUAGUUGGCUGGCUUUUAGUCGAAUUCAUCCAAUCAAAGAUAUCUGCCAGAGAUUAGAGGGCAAGAGGAGAGAGAGGUUGGGGUACUCACUGUCACCUCUCUGGUUCAGCACUGUGGUUUGGCAGUAGCUGCAACCUUCUCAGCCUACAGCUCCUACUCUUUCCCAUGGUCCCAGCUUUCACUGAGCUAUGGUGACAGUUUUUCAUCCCCUUGGCCCUUUGGGCCUUUAGGAUGUAAGAGCUUCCCACUCUGCUAGUGUCUAGGUGUCUUAAACAAUCUUGUGGCUUCCCUUUACCUUGACUGUGUCUCUUAAAUAGUCUCUUCAUCUAGACCAUCUGAGUUGAACCCAGUCUUAGAGAGUAGUAUAAGCAAAAGCAAGAAGGAACACAGUUCAUUAUUGAGGAACUGUGACUGCAUUACGGGGAACAUCAUAAAGUAGGAAUCUAGGGUAGAGGAGAGCAGUUUUAGAGAACUGGGGCUAGAUUAUGAGGGCCUUAUUAAGGAGUUUGGACUAUAUUCUUUGGUAAGAGAAAUCCAGUGGUAGUUGAGAGGCUACAAUCAGAUCUAUCUACUAGCAUGUAGAGGAUGGAAUGAAGAAGAAUAAGACUGAAGGCAGGGAAGCUAGGUAAGAAGUUAUUGCAAUAAGGUCCUAAAAUAGGGCACUGGAUGAUGGUAGUGAGAAUAGAUUUUAAAGUAGCCAGCAAUCAAAUCUAUAGGGCAUGGCAAAUAAAUGAAUUGAGGGAGGAAAGCCAAGGCAAUUUUUAAGGAUGGCUUCUAGUUCUCCAGCUUGGGAGAAUGGUAGCCCUAUAAACAAAGAGGAAGAGGUUCUUAGAAUUGGGAACAUCAGUUUCAUUUGAACCACCUAGAAAGUGAAGUGCUAUGGCACAUUAAGGCAAAGAGCUAAGAAAUUGGGUCUAUCCAUCAGCAAUAAUUUAAGAACUGGAGAUAAAAGCAUGUAUUAUAGAGCUAUGGUUCUUAGUCCUAGCAGUUCCUGAGAAUCAGCUGAGGAGCAUUCAUAAAGUAAAUUUCAGGGUCCAACCCCAGAUCAAUUAAAUCUGAUUUCUGGGUAGGAUCAGAAAUCAGACUUAAUGGGUGUGUAUUUAAUCAGAUUUCAUUGGAUUUAAUCUGGGUUUGGAUUUUUUUUUUAAGAUUUUAUUUAUUUAUUCAUGAGAGACACAGAGAGAGAGAGAGGCAGAGAGAUAGGCAGAGGGAGAAGCAGGCUCCAUACAGGGAGCCUGACGUGGGACUCGAUCCCAGGUCUCCAGAAUCACACUCUGGGCCGAAGGUGGUACUAAACCGCCAAGCCACAUGGUCUGCCCUGGGUUUGGAUUUUUAAACAGCUCCCUAGGUAAUUCUUAUUGCAUCCAGAUCAAGAGCAAGAUAGAAACAGCUAAGAAUGGAUGCUGCCAUGGGAGAUGAUAAAGAACACCCAUGAUAAAGAGUGGCCGAUAGAGAUAAAAACAGUAAGAAAAAUUGUAAUCAGGAGAGUGAAUAGACAGGUCACAUGCCAUGGACAGGUGGAAGAGGAAUGAGAAGAGGUCACUACAUCUGGUAAAUAGGUUAUUACUGAUCUCUGGGAAAGCAAUUUUAGUAACUGCAGAAGCCAGAUUGCAAGAAGCAAAGAGCAGAUUUUAGAUGAGGAACCAGAGGCAGGGUUGAAAGACUUCUCUUUCAAGAAGCUUGGUAUAGAAAGUAGGAGGAAAAAGCCAGUAGCUUAAGAAGAAAAGGACUGAGAGAACGCUUUCUUGGACUUUACAAUAGAGCAUGUAGCUGACUAAGGUAAGGAAACAUCAGAGAGGGAGAGAAUGAAAAUAUGCAGUGGAGGAGAAGUUAUCAGAAGACCUGGGCCGCAGAGGAACCUGGGAGUGGCAGAAGAUUAUCAGAAGAGUGGACCAAGCAAGGGAUACCAAAGAGAUAAGCUCUAAAUUGAGAAAGAUUGAGGGAGUGUGAGGCAUUGUUUUCAUAAUACAGUGAAAGGCAUGGGUGACUAGUGAAAGCAAAGGAGGUAGAUGGGAGAGGGGCGGAGAGAACAGUUCCUGAGAAUUUUCUGUGUGCCCGGCACCAUGCCGAAAUUCUACCAAGUUACCUCAUCUGGUAAUUUGAUGUAUUUCUGAAGGACAAAUGUCACAUGGGAUAAGAAGCAAAAAUUAGGCCUGUUCUGCCCGAUUUCAGCCAUCCAGUCACCUUGCUCCUGUGGUACCAUUACUAAUUAAUGGCCCUUUAAAGCUUAACCUGCAAUCUGUUUUAAGUUAAAUGCUCAUUUCUAGCUGAAUAGGAAGAGAUUUCAGCUAUGAUAAUAUUUCCUUAGUUCAGUUAAAGGGAAGAGCCAUGGAAGAACAUUUUAAAGAAAGAGAAAAAGCCUAUUAUUAAGAACGCUCCAUUAGCGAGGGCAAAGAAAGAUGGGGUUUUAUAAAGAUACUGUGCAAUGGCCCAAGAUAAUGGCAAUUAAUAAAUAUUUAGGAAGUGGAAUUAACCUGCAUAUUUUUAAGGUCUCCUUUUAAAUGAAAAAAAAAAUGCUAACUUUAGGUUUAGAUUACAAAUCCAUCAAGGGCUAGGACUGUGCCACCUCUUUCUGUGAUGCCUGGGCAACUGCAUGGGCUCAGGGGAUACCAACUAAGUAUCCCCUGAGUCAUCCUACAUCACCAGAGCUCCGCCUACAACAUUAUUAUCCAUGCCACAUGGUACAGACAAGCAGGCCAGCAAGGUAACUAAAUGGCUUCCAAUCUUCCAGAUACAGACGGAGCCUCUAGGUGGGAAAACUCAUGACGUUGGCUAUCCUUUUCUCUCAGAAACAUUCUCCAAAAUUGGAAUCAGUAAAUUCAGAAGUAGCGGCCAAGGGUUUUCUUCAUUGACAUUCCAGUGAACCAAGUUGGGGAAUGGGCAUAGAUGAAAAGAAAAGCAGGAAACUUGACCAACCUGUCUGAAUAAGCCUUGGGGAGACCCAGAGGGAUGAUCCUUCAGAUGCCAGAAAUCCAGUGGGAGGAGAGGUGGGGUAGGGUUGAAGAGGGCUGGGUUGAACUCAGGGUAGCACCCCUAUGUGGCUCUCCACAAUUUCAACACCAAACUACUAUAAAUUGUUUCUCAUUUAUUACUUAUGCCUACCCUGCUUACAAAACACAAGUUUCAGAUGAUCAGGCCUCCCUCUCUUAAAUCCAGAAAGUAUGCAGCUUUUAAGUUCUGUGGAAACUGGAUCCUAGUUUAUAUCAUUCACCACUAUGAUCAUAGAUCUAAGCACAUAAAGUAGUUAGUACUCGCUAGAUAUUUAUUGAAUGUUUGAAUUUGUACAUAUGAUCCUGUCUUCUCAUGUUUCUACAUAUUAUUUACAUUUGUUUUAAAACUUCCUUGUAAAGUGUUUUUAAAAGUAUUACUGGAAGUGUUUUAACAUAGGUGUACUGCAGAAGUGAUACUCUGAAACUCCAGAGCUUUCUGUCCGCUGUCUCCUAAAUAAAUAGCUUUUCAAAGUGUUGUAGCUGGAAGGCCAUCAAGAAUUGUAUCACCUGACAUUUACUUAAUGCAUUUCUUUAGGGGAGUCUCCAUUUCUCUCCUAGAGUCUCCCAGAGUUCUCUAUUACAUCCUGGGCAGGUAGAUACAAGGCAAACAUUUUCAUUUCAUCUCCAUUCUAAAAGGUCAAAAAGAUGAUAGAAAUAGAACCCACACCUUUGGCUUUCUUGCAGAUUUCCUCCUACUUAACCUUUAUCCAAACAUCGCCUUCCUCUUGGCCUCUUCCUUAGCAGUUCAUCUUCUUAAUCAUGAUCAUGCCAGUCUGGUAAGGUGAAUCCUAAACUAUAAUAACAAGAAUAGUAAACAUAAUUUUAUAUAGGAUCUUUUAUACAGCUCCAUUACAGAAUGCUGUGCCAACUUAAGAGUUGUAGAAUUACAGAGUGGCACUACUAAAUUAAGUAAUAAGUAACAGCAGAUACUAAUAAUUAGCUUAAUUUAUGGUCUAGCAGAACUGUCACAACUGAGGCAGCUCUCCUUCCGCCCCUCAUCUCCCUGACUUUUCUUCCUCCCUCCUCCUUUGGCAAUAGCAACCAAAUGAAGUGCUGAGAUUGUCAUGUUAUCAUAAAGUCAAGUCACUUCUUCCCUUACUCUUAGCUUUAUGACCUUAUUAUAUCAAGAAUUUCCAACCUUUUUUGAGUUACAUCACGCUAUCAUUGUUUAAUUUCACAACUGCUUCUCUUAAUGGCAUGCACUUGGUGGGAAGGGCAUACCAGGAUGAAUUGAAAUCUCUUGAGAAUCUGCAACAACUUCAGAAAGGCUCUUGGUUUUUGCAAAAUCAGGGUUGGCAAUGACUCCUCUACGUACAUGGUAACCUUGUAAAGAGGGUUCUCCUCUCCACUUAAACCAAGGAGCUAAAAAUCAAACACAUUAGAAAGGCGAUAUGGGGUCACAUGGCAAAAGUUGGGAAUGACUGUUUUUCCAGUAUCUGUGCAUGGUAGCUUUCCAUGGACACUCUGACCUCACUGGUAAUUGGAAAGAAUUUAAGAACGUUCUUAUAUGAACUCGACCUAAAAACUCAUGCAGCUUAGAUUUAACACAGAAUACCCAUUUUAACACAUUUAUUAAUCACUUACCUCUCUAUAUACUGACCCCCAGCUUCUAUGUUCUGAAGCAGGAAUAUGGGCCUACUGUACAACCGAAAUAAUGUAACCUGGUGACCAAACAUUCCAGGGCCAACAAAGCUGCUCCCUCUGUAAGAUAUAUUCUUGUGGCCAAAUCGAAUUAGGACUUGGAGGCUUUUCAAAUCGUCUGCUGCAGAAUGAGGGGUAAGUGUCAGUGUCCUCUAUGCUCUGAUAAAAUUGCCAACUUACCUGAACAAAAUGUAUCUCAACAACACUCCAUGCUGGGGAGGGGGCCCUGAGCAGGAAGCAGCACGAAAUAUUUUAUGUAUCUUUUAUUAUUGCAUAAAAGUGAUUAACAAUUUAGUCCUAGGUUAAGACAUCAAAACAAUUAAAAUGAACAUAAAAAUCCAACAUUGCAAAGUCUUCUGGAGUACUUGAGAGUAAAUGACGUAUUCAUCUCCACCCCCCCGCCCCCUCCCGCCGCCGCCUCCCGCCAUCCCCCCCCCACCGCAUGAAACUCUUCACAGGAACUCAUGUUUCUAAUACCUCCUAAAGUAUGUUGAGGUGACAGAUGGGCUGAGGUCUGAGUCCCAUCAAGCUUGGAGUUUUGUGUUUUUGUUUUUUGUCAGGGGAAAGAGGUUUCUUUGUUUUCCUAAAGAUGAGCUUGUCCACUAUAAAAGAAAAUUGGUGCUCUUUAACUGUGGGCUGAACCAAGAGAGAUUUCCCUUUCUUGCCUCUUGCCACCAUGUAUUUUUUCUGAUUUGGUUUGGCUAACAUCACAACCAAAACAGAAGCCUUCCUGACGACUGUCCUCCCAAUUCCACUGCCCUGAAAUAUCUGCUAGAGAAAUGAUUCAUUGUGUAAAGCCAUGUUUGGCAAAUAGAAUAGGAAAUGUCUGUUUGCAGAGAGUUCUUUGGUUUUAUCCUUUGUUUUCCCAGAAUGAACACAGGCCCUUUCAGAUUCUUAAACUCAAAGAGGGUCGAAAUCCUUCUCUACAAGUUAGUGUUUGACAAUCAUGAAUUUAAAUCCACUGGCAUCGUUUCCUUGCCACAAGGCUCUCUGAACCAAUUUCAUCAUCUGUAAAAUGGGGCCAAGUCUAGUGAGAGCAGUUGGCACUCCUGCCCCAUCCUUGCUAUUCACUUCCAGUCCUUGCGAUUAACAGCCUGAAUUUUACUGCCUAUAUUAUUUACCACAUGUAGCAACUAGUUUAAUUAUGACAAUAGGAGUUGAUAGGAAAUCAUUUUUUGGAAGUAAUUUGGCUCCUUUUGAACUUAUCUGGGCUCAUUUCAGAGGUUGUUUCCAAGAAAAUAGACAAAGACCAGUGUUCUCAGUCCUCCUUGAGCCUUGGGACCUCUCACCUUCCAAUUUAACAAAUGACCCUGGGUGUUUAUUUAUUAGUGACUGAAGAGCCUUUGUAAACCAAUUACCAUGAGCAAACAGCAUUUAUUGUAAAGCAAUAAACAACAAUAAACCUUGCCCUCAUCUAAAUUCAUUGCCCUAAACCACAGACCGCAGGGAACAGUUAGGUUUAAAACUCACAGUUGGUUAAGAUUGAAGAUUUAUAGGCACUCCAGUCCAGCUCUCCUUGGGGAGCCAACAUUGCCGGAGCACCAAGUCUGGAAGGCCAAAUAACCUACAUCAGGGUCACCUAUGGUCUUUCACUGGGGGCAGGGGAGUAAAGGGAGAAGAAAAAAUUCUUUUCUUUUCAAAUUAUCUUUUUCCCAGGACAUAGGAGUAUGCAGCACAUUACAAUUUCUCCUCCAGGUAUAUUAACCAAUAAAGUAAAUGGAAAAAUCAUUGUUGCCAAGUUAUACAUGGCAGAUUGAACACUCAUAGGUAUCUCUAUUCUUAUAAAACAAUUCAGCAAAAAAAAUUUGGGGGGAAUGCGUGGGUGGCUCAAUGGUUGAGUGUCUGCCUUCGGCUUAGGGUGUGUUCCGCGGGUUCCUGGAUUGAGUCCCACUUCGGGCUCCCCUUGAGGAGUCUGCUUCCCCCUCUGCCUAUGUCUCCACCUCUCUCUGUGUGUCUCUCAUGAAUAAAUAAAUACAAUCUUUUAAAAAAUAUUUUUAAUGGCAUAAGCCCACAAAGACUAAAAGAGCACUAGACAAACACACAGCAAAAGAAAGAAAUAACCAAUAUUUGGAGUAAGUUGAAAUCUAAACAUCCUGGAGAAACAAAUCAAUCUGUCUUAGAAUCCCAGAAACUCAGAUGCUGAGGGCAAUGGGUACCUCCAAGGGUCAGAGUUCUGGGCAGACCUGAAAACAGAGGGAUUGGUUGAGCAUUUAAAUAAAACCCAUUUAGAUCACUUCUAGUCCCCACCCCUACCCCCACCACUGUCCGCCAGGAUCAUAUUCAGGAGAGGGAUACCAGACACUUUGAAGAGGGGUGGAAAGUGGUCCUGAAGAUAGUCUGCACACUGCCUGCUUCCCACAACUGGAUUAAAGUACAUCAACAGCUGGGCUUAUAGCAACAAACUGAAGGAUUUUUCUCUGAGAAAGUGGACAAGCCCAAGAAAAAUUGAAGUCCCACUAGUUACUCAGAUCAUAGCUAGGGUGACCAGAUUUAGCAAAUAAAAAUACAAGAAUGUGCAAGUAUACUUAAAUUUUAGAUAAAUAACAGAUAAUUUCUUCACAUAAAUAUGUCCCGUGCAGUAUCAGAGGCAUGCUUAUAUUAAACAAUUAUCUAUUUUGUAUCUGAAAAUCAAAUUGAACUGGGCAUCCUACAUUUUAUCUGGCAUCUCUGUCCCCAACCCCAAAUUCCAGUUGGCUUCUUGGUGCCCCAUUCUUAUACAGAAACACUGGCUAAGGACCAUCAGAUGGUUCUGUUGGAGGAAAGACAGAGAGGUCAAAACCAACAAGGACAUGCAGAAGAAAGAGAAACAAUGAAGGAAAAGGAAAGAAUUA
rnacentral:lncRNA from 1 species